rnacentral:rRNA from 1 species
AAGCAUAUCAAUAAGCGGAGGAAAAGAAACCAACAGGGAUUGCCCUAGUAACGGCGAGUGAAGCGGCAACAGCUCAAAUUUGAAAUCUGGCCUCGGCCCGAGUUGUAAUUUGCAGAGGAUGCUUCUGGCGCGGUGCCUUCCGAGUUCCCUGGAACGGGACGCCACAGAGGGUGAGAGCCCCGUAUGGUCGGACACCAAGCCUGUGUGAAGCUCCUUCGACGAGUCGAGUAGUUUGGGAAUGCUGCUCUAAAUGGGAGGUAAAUCUCUUCUAAAGCUAAAUACCGGCCAGAGACCGAUAGCGCACAAGUAGAGUGAUCGAAAGAUGAAAAGCACCUUGAAAAGGGGGUUAAAUAGUACGUGAAAUUGUUGAAAGGGAAGCACUUAUGACCAGACUUGGGCCGGGCGGCUCAUCAGGGGUUCUCCCCUGUGCACUCCGCCCGGCACAGGCCAGCAUCGGUUUUCGCGGGGGGAUAAGACCGACGGGAACGUAGCACCCUCCGGGGUGUGUUAUAGCCCGGCGGACGAUACCCUCGCGGGGACCGAGGACCGCGCUUCGGCAAGGAUGCUGGCGUAAUGGUCAUCAGUGACCC